rnacentral:sRNA from 1 species
GAUUAUCGCUUAAUCGUUCUCAUUGCCUGUUUCUUAGUUUUUACAAUCACUCGACCACACCCAGUGUCUGGUAACAGACUGUGCAGUCGAGUACAAUUGUCUCAUUUCCUGUCUGUUACUCGACCAGUAUACUCGACCACACCCAGUGUCUGGCAACAGACUGUGCAGUUGAGUAUAUCUGUUUCAUAUCCUACCUGUUACUCGACCACAUCCCACUUCUGGCAUCAGCCUGUUGUGGUCGAGUGAUUUUAGUAAUUCUGUUAUUGUUUCUGUUUUCUGCAUUUUCACUUAAGACUAUUAGAACCCCCAAAACUGUUAUUCCUUGGGUUGACUUCUGAUCACAUCUCAUCUUUUUGCAUCACACUCAUUUGGAUUGACACCUAAAAUACUACAAUGACAUGAUAUGUGUUUUAGGAUAAUUGACUAAAAAACUAUUAUC